UUUUUCUCCACGUCCUCGCCAAUACUUGUUAUCUCAUUUGUGUGAUGAUCUUCCAUGGGCCUUGAAUGAUGAACAUAAGGAUAAUCCAGGAGAAAGAAAGAAGGUCAGAUGGCUCAACAGCACUGCCAACGAGGGGUCAGCAGUAGAAGGUAAGGAGAGUAAAUAUAUGUAGAG